AUGGAUAUCAGACCUAAUCAUACAAUUUAUAUCAACAAUAUGAAUGACAAAAUUAAAAAAGAAGAAUUGAAGAGAUCCUUAUAUGCUCUGUUUUCUCAGUUUGGCCAUGUGGUAGAUAUUGUGGCUUUAAAGACUAUGAAGAUGAGAGGACAGGCCUUUGUUAUAUUUAAGGAAUUAGGCUCAUCUACAAAUGCCUUGAGACAAUUACAAGGAUUUCCAUUCUAUGGUAAACCAAUGCAAAUCCAAUAUGCAAAAACCGAUUCUGAUAUAAUUUCUAAAAUGCGUGGCACUUUUGCUGACAAAGAGAAGAAAAAAGAAAAGAAAAAAGCUAAAACUGUGGAACAAGCAGCAAUAGCUGCAAACAAAAAGCCUGGUCAGGGUACACCAAAUUCAGCUAACACCCAAGGAAAUACAACGCCAAGUCCUCAGGUCCCUGAUUACCCUCCAAACUAUAUUUUAUUUCUUAAUAAUUUACCGGAAGAGACAAAUGAGAUGAUGUUAUCCAUGCUGUUUAAGCAGUUCCCUGGUUUUAAGGAAGUGCGCUUGGUACCUGGGAGGUAUGACAUUGCUUUUGUUGAAUUUGAAAAUGAUGGCCAGGCGGGAGCUGCCAGGGAUGUUUUAUAAGGAUUUAAGAUCACCCCAUCCCAUGCCAUGAAGAUCACCUAUGCCAAGAAAUAA